GGGGAUAUAGCUCAGUUGGGAGAGCGCUGCGUUCGCAAUGCAGAGGUCAGGGGUUCGAGUCCCCUUA
rnacentral:tRNA from 1 species